rnacentral:rRNA from 1 species
GACGAACCGUGCGAACGUUGUUCGGAAUCACUGGGCUUAAAGGGCGCGUAGGCGGGCGAUCAAGUCAGGGGUGAAAUCCUCCGGCUCAACCGGAGAACUGCCUUUGAUACUGGCCGUCUCGAGUGAGGUAGGGGUAUGCGGAACUGAUGGUGGAGCGGUGAAAUGUGUUGAUAUCAUCAGGAACUCCGGUGGCGAAAGCGGCGUACUGGACCUCAACUGACGCUGAUGCGCGAAAGCUAGGGGAGCGAACGGG